rnacentral:rRNA from 1 species
UACCGCAUACGACCUGAGGGUGAAAGUGGGGGACCGCAAGGCCUCAUGCUAUAGGAGCGGCCGAUGUCUGAUUAGCUAGUUGGUGGGGUAAAGGCCCACCAAGGCGACGAUCAGUAGCUGGUCUGAGAGGACGAUCAGCCACACUGGGACUGAGACACGGCCCAGACUCCUACGGGAGGCAGCAGUGGGGAAUUUUGGACAAUGGGCGAAAGCCUGAUCCAGCAAUGCCGCGUGUGUGAAGAAGGCCUUCGGGUUGUAAAGCACUUUUGUCCGGAAAG